rnacentral:lncRNA from 1 species
GCUAGGGCUGCCAUGAAAAAGUACCAUAAACUGAGUGGCUUAAGCAAAGAAAUUGUCUCAGUUCAGAAGUCUGGAAGUCUGAGAUCAAGCUGUCCCUGGGGCUGGUUCCUUCUGAGGGCUGUGAGGAAGAAUCUGCUCCAGGCCUCCCCGCUGGCUUCUGGUGGUUUCCUGGCAAUCUUUGCUGUUCCUUGGCUUACUGAAGCAUCACUCCGAUCUCUGCCUUCAUCUUCACUUGUGUACUCCCUGUGUAUGUGGGACUGUGCCCAAACUUCCCCUUUUUAUAAGGACAUUAGUCACAUCGACCCAUUCCAGUAUGACUUCAUUUUAACAUCACUAAUUACAUCUGUUAUGACCCUAUUUCCAAGUGAGUUCACAUCCUGAGGUACUGGGGGUUAGGACGUCAACAUAUGAAUUUGAGGAGGACACAAUUCAAUCACAACAUCUCCCAUCCUGGACUAGUAGGCACCAGAAACACUUGAGUUUGGUGCGUCCAUGUCAGCCCAGGCCAGCGUGCCACCCUCUGCAGGCUGGGUGCACAGAAGCAUUCCUGCCAUGGCAGUCACAUCAAGAGUGGAGUUGACUGUCCAAUAGAGUCACAGCCUGAAAUGGCCCCGACGGUGCACAGGAUGGGCUCACCCGGUCCACGCUUCACCCUCUGCCGGAAGGAGGGUUGAAAUCAUUGACUCCAUCUUCCAGUGACAGUAACAGCUGCCGUUCAUUGACCAUCUGCCCGCGUCCCUGUAGUUAAGAUAUGGAACCUCCAUUCCUGCUUCUACAGGGAGUCCCGGGUUUUCUAAAAGAACCCUCUCAGUUCCCAGGAUAUCAUUUCUUUUAAAUAUAGAGAAAAUAUUGAAAGGUUAUGUCAAUGUACAUAGGUCAUCUCAGGUGUUAUUACGGGGACUUUUUAUUCUCCUUUUUUUGAUUAACUGUAUCUUCUAAAUUUUCAAUGUAUAUGUAUUACUGUGUAAUAAGAAAAGCAAAGUGAAGUUUAUUUUUACAAAAAACUAAAUAGUAUAAAUUAACAAAAUAAAAGCAGAUGCAACAACAUUAUUAUGAAACAAGAUAGAAUUAAAGGCAAAAAUCAUUAAAAGAGCAAAGAGUUAUGUUUCAUAUUGUUGAUAGAUAUUUUCUGCCAUAAAGAUAAAAUAGUCAGUAGACCUAAAUGCAUUUAACACUAAAACUUCAAAAUAUAUAUGCAAAACCUGAUAGAAAUAAAAAGAGAAAUUGAUGAAUCCACAGCAUGGCAGGAGACUUUAACAUAUCACUUUAAGAAACAAUAAAAAAGGAGA